UUACCUUUAUGGAUGAAUCUUUGUUUUUAGUAAAGUACAAUUUGCAUGACAAUAUUUGAAGUCUAAAAGUCGUUCUAAGCCUAUCUUGGGAGAAUGGGAUAGUACAUCCUCGACACUAAGGAUUCGUGUCUUCCGAGUGUGCAUCUCUUGAGCACCUUCUCCUCUGAUGGUUCUUCUUUCAAGGACCAUAUUCUCCCCGGCCGCUUAAUUGGUCCUCCUCUUAAAGACCACCUUCUUCUCGCAUGGUUCUCCUCUCAAGGAUCACCUUCUCAACAUGUGGGUUUCCUUUUUGGGGAGCACUCUCUCUUUUGCAUGGUUCUCUCAAAGAGCACCGACUCCACUCGUGGUUCUCCUCUCAAUGAGCACCAUUUCUUCAUGUGGUUCUCCUAUCAUGGAGCACCUUCUCUUCGCCAUCAUCUAUUACAAGAACCUUCUCCUCACGGCUAUCUCCUCAAAGAGCCUUUAAUUUCCUCGUGGCUAUAUCUUCCAAGGUCCUUCUCCUAGCUUUUUCUCCAAAAACCAUCUAUUCUAGUCUAGGCUAUCUCCUCCAAGUUUCAUCUCUUAGUUACUAUCUUCUGCAAGGACUUUCUCCUCAUGCCUAUUUACUCCAUGAAACUUCUCCUUGUCGCUAUCUUGUCCAAGGACCUUCUCCUCGUGUCUUUCUCCUUCAAGGAUAAUCUUUGGGGAAUAAAAUUUAGAAAAUUCAUUAUGUUCUAAACCCUAACCCUAUAUAAUGAUUUUUUUUUUUCAAGUUUAUUUUUUUUAAUUAUAUUAUUUUAGGAUCAAUUCAAUUACCAUAUAUUUACUAACUAAUGUUUAAACUUUUAUUGUAGGAAAUAUUUAUUUGAAUUUGAGGUGUGUCGAAAUUGUUGAAGAUUAAUUUUGAAGGGUUUGCUGAAGACAGGAGCAUUUUGCUGCAACAUUUUCAGAAGAAAAAAAAUAGGAGGAAAUAUCAGCUCAAAGAGAAGUGCAUGUGGCAUCACUUAUCCAGCUGUAAAAGGAGGCUGACGUGGCACAAAAGUGGGUACAGAUAUUAUAUCAGCAACUUUUAAGUGAGUGGGUCACGUGAGAGAGAAAAAAGGAGGGGUAAAAUUGGGAAAUAAGAAGAAGGAAAAGAGGGGGGUUGUACCCUAGCUAAUUAAGGAAAGAGCAGCCUCCAUUUUUUAUUAGACUUGAGCCACAAGUUUACUGCAGAAAACCAGAGAGAAAAUAGAGAAAAACGCCAGGAAGAAAUAGAAAGAGAUUUAAGGAAGAAGGAGUCUAACCAAAGAAGCUCAAGCAUCAUUUUGGAUUUGUUUUUCUCUUCUUUCUAAACUCUAUUGUAUUAAUUUCUGAGUUGGAUUCUAAACUGAAUAUUAUGGGCUAUUUUGAUUGUGAAUUAAUGUUUAUGAAAUCAUCCAUGAACUAAUUUCUUGGUGGCUUGAAUUGUUGAUGAAUCCUAUGUUAUAAUCUAUCCAUUUCUUGCA